UACAGAGACUGCGAGCGUUAUUCGGGUUCACUGGGCGUAAAGGGUGCGCAGGCGGCCGAGUGUGUGAGGCGUGAAAGCCCGGGGCUUAACCCCGGAAUUGCACCUCAAACUACACGGCUAGAGCAUUGGAGAGGGUAGCAGAAUUCACGGUGUAGCAGUGAAAUGCGUAGAUAUCGUGAGGAAUACCAGAGGCGAAGGCGGCUACCUGGACAAUUGCUGACGCUCAGGCACGAAAGCGUGGGGAGCAAAAGGG
rnacentral:rRNA from 1 species